GGGGGGGCGAUUCAGUACAGUGUCCUCUGAGUUUUUUGGCUAUUUUAAUAAAAGAGUCAUUAAAGGUUUUUUGUUUAUUAUUUUUUCCUACUUAGCUGUUAAACAAGGACACUUGAGGGCAUUUUGGAACUUAUAUAUAUUAAAUGUUCCUUCUCCCUCUCCCUUUAAUUAGCCCUUUAUACUAGCUAGUUUAAUUUGUGCACUGUUAUUUAAUGUUGUCCAUUUACUAUUUAUGUCAACUGAGAAUCCAUGCCUAAAGUACAGUGUGAGA